UAGCACAGAGAGCUUGCUCUCGGGUGACGAGCGGCGGACGGGUGAGUAAUGUCUGGGAAACUGCCUGAUGGAGGGGGAUAACUACUGGAAACGGUAGCUAAUACCGCAUAAUGUCGCAAGACCAAAGUGGGGGACCUUCGGGCCUCAUGCCAUCAGAUGUGCCCAGAUGGGAUUAGCUAGUAGGUGGGGUAACGGCUCACCUAGGCGACGAUCCCUAGCUGGUCUGAGAGGAUGACCAGCCACACUGGAACUGAGACACGGUCCAGACUCCUACGGGAGGCAGCAGUGGGGAAUAUUGCACAAUGGGCGCAAGCCUGAUGCAGCCAUGCCGCGUGUAUGAAGAAGGCCUUCGGGUUGUAAAGUACUUUCAGCGGGGAGGAAGGCGAUAAGGUUAAUAACCUUGUCGAUUGACGUUACCCGCAGAAGAAGCACCGGCUAACUCCGUGCCAGCAGCCGCGGUAAUACGGAGGGUGCAAGCGUUAAUCGGAAUUACUGGGCGUAAAGCGCACGCAGGCGGUCUGUCAAGUCGGAUGUGAAAUCCCCGGGCUCAACCUGGGAACUGCAUUCGAAACUGGCAGGCUAGAGUCUUGUAGAGGGGGG
rnacentral:rRNA from 1 species